UACGAAGGGUGCAAGCGUUACUCGGAAUUACUGGGCGUAAAGCGUGCGUAGGGGGUGGUUUAAGUCCGUUGUGAAAGCCCUGGGCUCAACCUGGGAAUUGCAGUGGAUACUGGAUCACUAGAGUGUGGUAGAGGAUAGUGGAAUUUCCGGUGUAGCAGUGAAAUGCGUAGAGAUCGGAAGGAACAUCUGUGGCGAAGGCGACUAUCUGGGCCAACACUGACACUGAGGCACGAAAGCGUGGGGAGCAAACAGG
rnacentral:rRNA from 1 species